AGGAAUAUUGGUCAAUGGCCGGAAGGCUGAACCAGCCAAGUCGCGUGAGGGAAUAAGGCCCUACGGGUCGUAAACCUCUUUUGCCGGGGAGCAAAGUGCCGCACGUGUGCGGUUUGGAGAGUACCCGGAGAAAAAGCAUCGGCUAACUCCGUGCCAGCAACCGCGGUAAUACGGAGGAUGCGAGCGUUAUCCGGAUUUAUUGGGUUUAAAGGGUGCGUAGGCGGACGCUUAAGUCAGCGGUAAAAUUGCGGGGCUCAACCUCGUCGAGCCGUUGAAACUGGGUGCCUUGAGUGGGCGAGAAGCACGCGGAAUGCGUGGUGUAGCGGUGAAAUGCAUAGAUAUCACGCAGAACUCCGAUUGCGAAGGCAGCGUACCGGCGCCCAACUGACGCUGAAGCACGAAGGCGUGGGUAUCGAA
rnacentral:rRNA from 1 species